rnacentral:lncRNA from 1 species
AAGCAGUCCAGGUCCCUGAAGGCUGAAUGCAGGUGGUUCUGAAGGCUGCAGGAUGCAUUCAAAAAGCAGGAUACAUAAGCUUUAAUUGUUGCUAAAAAUACAUUCACUAGAAGAAUCGGACUCCUUCUAUCUGUCUGGAGUGGAUAAAAGCCAACUAUGGAUUCAGUAGUCUAAAGAAAGUCGCAGAAGAACAAAGAAAAGGAGAACAUUCAGCAGGAACUGUGGAAAUCCAAGUCAAGUAAUAUUCUCAACAG